CCUACGGGAGACAGCAGUGAGGAAUAUUGGUCAAUGGCCGUAAGGCUGAACCAGCCAAGUCGCGUGAAGGAAGAAGGAUCUAUGGUUUGUAAACUUCUUUUAUAGGGGAAUAAAGGUAUCCACGUGUGGAUAUUUGCAUGUACCCUAUGAAUAAGCAUCGGCUAACUCCGUGCCAGCAGCCGCGGUAAUACGGAGGAUGCGAGCGUUAUCCGGAUUUAGUGGGUUUAAAGGGUGCGUAGGUUGUGUUUUAAGUCAGCGGUGAAAGUUUGUGGCUCAACCAUAAAAUUGCCGUUGAAACUGGAAGACUUGAGUGUGUUUGAGGUAGGCGGAAUGCGUGGUGUAGCGGUGAAAUGCAUAGAUAUCACGCAGAACUCCGAUUGCGAAGGCAGCUUACUAAGCCAUAACUGACACUGAAGCACGAAAGCGUGGGGAUCAAACAGGAUUAGAUACCCGUGUAGUC
rnacentral:rRNA from 1 species